GAUUUACCUUACAAUUUGAUAAAUAUGACGCACAUUGAAGUUCAUUUUGAAUAUGUAUAUCCGUAUAUUUUGGAUGUAAUAUGCAUGGAUGGCGCUGCAGUCGGAAGAUAGGUUUCCCAAGGCUGUGAUUUGGAGAUAAAAAAAAAUGAAAUUAUCAAACUGGAUUCCCAGGCUAGUAAUGCAGCACAAAUACAGAAACUUUGACUAUAAUACUGUGUCGGGGUGAUACUUAAUACGAUGCGAAGACGCGAUAAUACGAUGUGGAAGAAUGGAAUAAGGAAUAUAUAUGUACUUUAGCAAGUACAGGUUAGAGCGCCUAUUUUAUAAGAAGUGAUGACCCAACAAUGAAAAGCCUCGCGUAGCAACCUACUCGAAACAGUGCUGCAUUAUGUGUUUUGUCUACUGUUUAAAAAUAAUCAAUCCGGAAUUAUUCAGUGAAAAUGCAAAGGCUUUGUUUUAAGAAAUAGCCCUUUAAGUAUAUUGUUUCAACAGUUAUUCGAUUAGCACUAUGCUCAAAAGUCUCAGACUAAUUUGUGCUCCAGUUCUCUCCAUUAUCGUUUUUAUAAAACUUGAUAUACAAAUGGCAUCAAAUUUUCGAAGCCGGAAAUUCGACGUUUCUUGGAUGUAUAAAAGCGUUUUCUGUCAAACAGCGUUGGAAUCAAUCGCUCUGAUAAAACUUCGACCAGCAGGGUUGUAAAGAUGUUUUCUGCGUGAAAAUUGACGGGCAGUAUGAAAGAGUGCCAAAUACCGUGUUACUAAACCGAUCUGAAGAACUAGACUCUGUUGGUAUCGCUGCAAAGGAAAAAUUCAUCAGCUUGGUAGAGAACAAUAAACAAGCUGAUUGGUACCUGUUUGAAGGCUACAAACUCUCUCUUCAUCAAGAUAGAUUAACAAGAGAUCUGUUGAUAAAAGAUUGUAAUAGUAGAACUUACAAGGCGAUAAAUCUUUUUCCGUAUCAUUAUAAAACGUUUAAAAUUUGAAGUUGAAGAAGCGAUCACCUAAGCUAUUGCCGGUUUUCAGGAUAAAAACAUAAAAUAUGGGUCAUAACAGUGCCUGCCAUUUGGUCAGACUCCGCAAAACAGUUUAUGAGGGAGGCUGUGGCAGCAGAUAUUGGCAAAGAGCAGUUGCAUCUAUGCCUUGCGCCCGAAGCGGCCGCUCGCUAUUGUUUGCAACAACCGAAUCGGUCUGUGGUACAUGCAGAUGGAACUUUUAUAACGGAAACAUUUAGAAAAGGUGAAAAAUAUAUUACAGCUGACAUUGGCGGGGGAACAGCGGAUAUAUGUGUGCAUGAAGUUCUUGAUGACACUACAGUUAGGCCGUUGGGAAUCUAGCAGGCGGAAAUAAAGUCAAUGUUGUUUUUGACAAGCUUAUUGAAAAAUACGUUGGAUGCCACAUUUUGGAACAAAUAAAACGUGGAUAUAUCAGUGCUUAUUUGGAGCUCAUGAGUGAUUUUGAAAAGAAGAAAAGUCUAUUUGAAAUCUCCGAAUUACAUGAAAGCAAUACAAAUAUUAAUAUAAGAAUUCCCUUUGGUCUAAAAGAAAAGUUCAAGAAAAUUAGUGCAAUCAGUUCUAAUGAAAACAAUGACUUUAAGAAAGGAUAAACUCGUUUUGAAUGAAACUCUUAUUGAAAACCUCUUCAGAAGUUGUAAAUGAAAUCAAAGAUCUCUUAAAAACCAUGCAAGAAAAUAAAGAACCUAUAUCUACGCUUCUUGUGGCUGGUGGAAUCGAAAUACGCGCAGCAGCGUAUCCGAUCAGAUAUCCCGGAUGUACGCGUGAUCUACCCACCAGAUGGCAGUCUUGCCGUUAUGAAAGGAGCUGCGUUGAUGGGAUUUAGACCGAGAACUAUAACUGAACGUCGAGCUAGAUAUACAUAUGGAUUUUGCAGAAGUGAGCCUUUUAUUGAAGGCAAACAUCCAGUUUCUGAAAUAUGUACGUGAUGGUGAAAUCCUGUGCAGUAAGACUUCCAGUAAGCAAAGGACAAAGACUGAGGUGUGGGCAGAUAUUUCGUGAACGCACUUAUGAUACAUUCAGAGCAAAAUAGAUAAAAAUGAAACAUCGAUCUAUUGAAGUAAUAAACUAGAUCCAAAAUACUGCACUGAAGAGGAAGGCUGUUUUCCUGUUGGAAAAAUCAUAUAAUAACAGACCCACCAGAGAAUGGAUGCCAUGGAAUGACCUUGUAGAUUUUGAAAAUCAGCUUAUCGUUGGUGAAACAGAGUUCAAUGUUAGAAGAAAAGAAUUACAAACAGGCAAGGUUUAUGAUACCAACAUUGAUUUUUUGUGUGAAUAUAUGCAGCAGUGGACUCUAUUACCGAUGUGAGAAAUUAAAACAUGAAACUUAUAGGGCCUACAUUUAUACUAUUAUUUUUUAGUUUCGAACUUUUUAUAUAUGAUAAUGUUACAGCCAUCGAAAAGCCCCAAAGGCCAUGCUAUCUGCAGUGCGUAUCACGCCGUUGGUAGCAGGGGGGAGACAAAAGAUAUAAGGAAAAGGUGACUGAUCGACAAUUGAUGACCUUGCUAUUGUCGCCUUGAUGUCAAUUUUAAAUAUAAUAAAAGAAGAGUGUUUUUUUUCCAAUUUAACAAGCACAACGUGAAUGGCGUGUCACUUCAAUUACAAACUAUGAUAAAAGAAGGGAAGUUUCAUUAAGAAGAAUAUUGCUUAACAAUAAAGUUGUAGGAUAUUUUGAAAUAGAUUAAGAAUUUUGCUAAACAGCUAAUUUUUACAGGAAAAAGUAGUAUAUAUGUUAGAAUGGAUUAUAUACAUAAAUAUAUAUUGAUUUAUAAAUACAGCUAU